rnacentral:rRNA from 1 species
AGAGUUUGAUCAUGGGUCAGAUCGAACGUCGGCGGAAUGCUUUACACAUGCAAGUCGAGCGGCAGCGCGGGGGCAACCCUGGAGGCGAGCGGCGAACGGGUGAGUAAUACAUGGGAACGUGUCUUUAAGUGGGGGAUAGCUGGGGGAAAGCCGGAUUAAUACCGCAUAAGCUGUGAGGAGGAAAGCGGGGGAUUCGCAACGACCUCGCGCUGUUGGAGCGGCCGAUGUCGGAUUAGUUAGUUGGUGGGGUAAAGCCCCACCAAGGCGACGAUCCGUAGCUGCUCUGAGAGGAUGAUCAGCCCCACUGGAAUUGAGACACGGUCCAGAUUCUUACGGGAGGCACCAGUGGGGAAUUUUGGCCAAUGGGGGCAACCCUGAUCCAGCCAUUCCGCGUGAGUGAAGAAGGCCUUCGGGUUGUAAAGCUCUUUCAGACGGAACGAAAUGGUUACGGCUAACACGUCAGAAGGAUGACGGUACCGUAAGAAGAAGCACCGGCUAACUACGUGCCAGCAGCCGCGGUAAUAC